rnacentral:rRNA from 1 species
AAUAGAUACCCGGGUAGUCCACGCCGUAAACGAUGAGUGCUAAGUGUUAGAGGGUUUCCGCCCUUUAGUGCUGAAGUUAACGCAUUAAGCACUCCGCCUGGGGAGUACGGCCGCAAGGCUGAAACUCAAAGGAAUUGACGGGGGCCCGCACAAGCGGUGGAGCAUGUGGUUUAAUUCGAAGCAACGCGAAGAACCUUACCAGGUCUUGACAUCCUCUGACAACCCUAGAGAUAGGGCUUCUCCUUCGGGAGCAGAGUGACAGGUGGUGCAUGGUUGUCGUCAGCUCGUGUCGUGAGAUGUUGGGUUAAGUCCCGCAACGAGCGCAACCCUUGAUCUUAGUUGCCAUCAUUUAGUUGGGCACUCUAAGGUGACUGCCGGUGACAAACCGGAGGAAGGUGGGGAUGACGUCAAAGUCAUCAUGCCCCUUAUGACCUGGGCUACACACGUGCUACAAUGGACGGUACAAAGAGCUGCAAAGACCGCGAGGUGGAGCUAAUCUCAUAAAACCGUUCUCAGUUCGGAUUGUAGG